rnacentral:rRNA from 1 species
GACGAACGCUGGCGGCGUGCUUAACACACGCAAGCCGAACGGAAAGGCCCUGCUUUUGUGGGGUGCUCGAGUGGCGAACGGGUGAGUAACACGUGAGUAACCUGCCCUUGACUUUGGGAUAACUUCAGGAAACUGGGGCUAAUACCGGAUAGGAGCUCCUGCUGCAUGGUGGGGGUUGGAAAGUUUCGGCGGUUGGGGAUGGACUCGCGGCUUAUCAGCUUGUUGGUGGGGUAGUGGCUUACCAAGGCUUUGACGGGUAGCCGGCCUGAGAGGGUGACCGGCCACAUUGGGACUGAGAUACGGCCCAGACUCCUACGGGAGGCAUCAGUGGGGAAUAUUGCACAAUGGGCGGAAGCCUGAUGCAGCAACGCCGCGUGCGGGAUGACGGCCUUCGGGUUGUAUACCGCUUUCGCCUGUGACGAAGCGUGAGUGACGGUAAUGGGUAAAGAAGCACCGGCUAACUACGUG